UACGUAGGUGGCAAGCGUUGUCCGGAAUUACUGGGUGUAAAGGGAGCGUAGGCGGGGAGACAAGUUGAAUGUCUAAACUAUCGGCUUAACUGAUAGUCGCGUUCAAAACUAUCACUCUUGAGUGCAGUAGAGGUAGGCGGAAUUCCUAGUGUAGCGGUGAAAUGCGUAGAUAUUAGGAGGAACACCAGUGGCGAAGGCGGCCUACUGGGCUGUAACUGACGCUGAGGCUCGAAAGCGUGGGUAGCAAACAGG
rnacentral:rRNA from 1 species